rnacentral:tRNA from 1 species
CCUUCGAUAGCUCAUUUGGUAGAGCGGAGGACUGUAGAUCCUUAGGUCGCUGGUUCGAAUCCGGCUCGAAGGA